CCUACGGGAGGCAGCAGUCGAGAAUCAUUCACAAUGGGGGAAACCCUGAUGGAGCGACGCCGCGUGGGGGAAUGAAGGUCUGCGGAUUGUAAACCCCUGUCAUGUGGGAGCAAAUUAAAAAGAUAGUACCACAAGAGGAAGAGACGGCUAACUCUGUGCCAGCAGCCGCGGUAAUACAGAGGUCUCAAGCGUUGUUCGGAAUCCCUGGGCGGAAAGCGUGCGUAGGCUGUUUCGUAAGUCGUGUGUGAAAGGCGCGGGCUCAACCCGCGGACGGCACCUGAUACUGCGAGACUAGAGUAUUGGAGGGGGAACCCGAAUUCUCGGUGUAGCCGUGAACUGCGUAGAUAUCGAGAGGAACACUCGUGGCGAAGGCGGGUUCCUGGACAUUAACUGACGCUGCGUCACGAAGGCCCGGGGAGCGAAAGGGAUUAGAUACCCUAGUAGUC
rnacentral:rRNA from 1 species